rnacentral:rRNA from 1 species
UACGGAGGAUCCGAGCGUUAUCCGGAUUUAUUGGGUUUAAAGGGUGCGCAGGCGGGGGAUUAAGUCGGUGGUGAAAUUUUGCAGCUCAACUGUAAAAGUGCCUUCGAAACUGGUUUCCUUGAGUGUAGAUGAAGUAGGCGGAAUUUGUGGUGUAGCGGUGAAAUGCAUAGAUAUCACGAGGAACUCCGAUUGCGCAGGCGGCUUACUAAACUACUACUGACGCUCAGGCACGAAGGCGUGGGGAUCAAACAGGAUUAGAUACCCUGGUAGUCCCU